AUGGCCAAGUCCAAGACCCACACAACCAGUCCUGCAAAUGGCACAGAAAUGGCAUCAAGAAACCCCGGUCGCAAAGAUACGAAUCUCUUAAGGGGGUUGACCCGAAGUUCCUGAGGAACAUGCUCUUUGCCAAGAAGCACAACAAGAAAGGCCUGAAGAAGAUGCAGGCCAACAGUGCAAAGGCAGUGAGUGCGCGUGCAGAGGCCAUCAAGGCACUGGUGAAGCCUCAGGCCGUCAAGCCCAAGAUGCCAAAGGGCCCCAGCCGCAAACUC
rnacentral:lncRNA from 1 species